rnacentral:rRNA from 1 species
UGAGGAAUAUUGGGCAAUGCCCGCAAGGGUGACCCAGCAACGCCGCGUGGAGGAUGAAUGUCGUAAGAUUGUAAACCCCUGUUAGAGGGGAAGAAUAGUACCGGUUGGACCGGUAUAUGACUGUACCCUCAGAGAAAGCCCCGGCUAACUACGUGCCAGCAGCCGCGGUAAUACGUAGGGGGCAAGCGUUGUCCGGAUUUACUGGGUGUAAAGGGCGCGCAGGCGGGAUAAAAAGUCAGUGGUGAAAUUCUACAGCUUAACUGUAGAACUGCCUUUGAUACUUUUAUUCUUGAGUUCGGGAGAGAGAGACGGAAUUCCAGGUGUAGUGGUGAAAUACGUAGAUAUCUGGAAGAACACCAGUUGCGAAGGCGGUCUCUUGGUCCGACACUGACGCUGAGGCGCGAAAGCGUGGGGAGCAAACA